UUGCAGUGCUUAGAAUCUCUACUGGAAGGU
rnacentral:piRNA from 1 species